UUUUUUUUCUUCCAUAAAAAACAAAAAAAAAAAUAAAAAAUAAAAAAAAAAAAAAAUAUAAAACUUUUUUUUUUUUUUUUUUUUUCUCUUAAUUGUAAUUAUCUAGUUUACUGGAAAAUCCUCUCUACAAAAAGGAUCACGACAAUGUAAAAAAUUUUUACCUUAUCUAAAAAAAAUCAGAAGAACAGGGCGACGAGCGACUGGGUGGGGUAGGGGGAGAGGUGGGGGCCGCGGUGCACGCGGGCGCGGGGAGGCGGUGGCGGCGGCGGGGACGCUGCAGACAAAAGGAGCCGCGCGCCCUCCCGAGCGCGGCAGCCCUCGCCGGGCAGGCGAAGGAGCGCGCCGCGAACGGCCGCCUCCUUCGCGGACUCAGUUUCCCCAGCUCGCUUCCUCAGCUGGAAAACCGGGAGGGUAGCCGCCCCGCCGCCCCCGGGCGCAGCAGAAUUGGUUUUCUCCUGGAGACAGACCCUUGGCGCCUCGGGCCUGCCUUGAGUGUCCUGGCUGUGACAGUGCCCUGGCUGCUGUCCUGUCUCCUCCUGCCCUCGGGUGCUCCUGUCAGACUCAUCUCCCUCAAACUCUUCUCUGGAGAGAAAACCUCUGGGCUCUCGGGACCUGCAGACACGGCCCCGCCCUGGCCGGCUGUUUUCUUCUGCCACCUGCCACUGUGGUCUCCAGGCGCCUCAUCUCCUCCAGGGCUGAGAUCUGGACUGGGGCUUCAGUCUCAGCGGUAGCUCUCCUGAGAGCCAGCCGGGGAGGAGUGGCUUCCUUCCUGCCUCCGUGAGCCCAGGGAGUCCCAUUGGAAGACAUCGGCUGUACUAACUGCAUCUGCUACAUUCACAGUAGAGUCAGAGGCUUGCCCGGUUCAUUCCUUACUGCCGAGAAAUAAAACCUUGCCAAAUAACA
rnacentral:lncRNA from 1 species